rnacentral:rRNA from 1 species
GACGAACGCUGGCGGCGUGCCUAACACAUGCAAGUAGAGCGGGGGGAGUUCUUCGGAACAAACCUAGCGGCGGACGGGUGAGUAACACGUGGGUAACCUGCCUCAAAGUGGGGGAUAGCCUUCCGAAAGGAAGAUUAAUACCGCAUAACCAAUGAUUUCCGCAUGGAAGUAAUGGUAAAGAUUUAUCGCUUUGAGAUGGACCCGCGGCGCAUUAGCUAGUUGGUGAGGUAACGGCUCACCAAGGCCACGAUGCGUAGCCGACCUGAGAGGGUGAUCGGCCACAUUGGAACUGAGACACGGUCCAGACUCCUACGGGAGGCAGCAGUGGGGAAUAUUGCACAAUGGGCGAAAGCCUGAUGCAGCAACGCCGCGUGAGUGAUGAAGGCCUUCGGGUUGUAAAGCUCUGUCUUUUGGGACGAUAAUGACGGUACCAAAGGAGGAAGCCACGGCUAACUACGUGCCAGCCGCCGCCGUAAAAC